CCCUGCCGGAUCCUAUCCGACCUACAGCCGCAGUUGCUCGUCUCCGUCCAUGCGCCACUCCAGCUGCUGCACGAAUCAGGCGCUAACAGGAUAUGUUCCGGUCCUCAUCAAGGUACUGUUGGACCUAAGGUCAUAUUAGGUUAUCGUCAUUCCACAUGUUAGCAACCUGUUUUCAUGGGUUUGGCUUUAUUGCACGGGAACUACACUAAUUGAGUUUCUCCGUCCGAUAUGAAUCAGGCGCCAACGACACAGCUGCUUCACUCCUCCUCAAG